AUUGAACGCUGGCGGCAGGCUUAACACAUGCAAGUCGAGCGGGGAAGUAUAGCUUGCUAUACGACCUAGCGGCGGACGGGUGAGUAAUGCUUAGGAAUCUGCCUAUUAGUGGGGGACAACAUUCCGAAAGGAAUGCUAAUACCGCAUACGUCCUACGGGAGAAAGCAGGGGAUCUUCGGACCUUGCGCUAAUAGAUGAGCCUAAGUCAGAUUAGCUAGUUGGUGGGGUAAAGGCCUACCAAGGCGACGAUCUGUAGCGGGUCUGAGAGGAUGAUCCGCCACACUGGGACUGAGACACGGCCCAGACUCCUACGGGAGGCAGCAGUGGGGAAUAUUGGACAAUGGGCGCAAGCCUGAUCCAGCCAUGCCGCGUGUGUGAAGAAGGCCUUUUGGUUGUAAAGCACUUUAAGCGAGGAGGAGGCUACUUGGAUUAAUACUCUAAGAUAGUGGACGUUACUCGCAGAAUAAGCACCGGCUAACUCUGUGCCAGCAGCCGCGGUAAUACAGAGGGUGCGAGCGUUAAU
rnacentral:rRNA from 1 species